GCUAUGAUGAAUUUUCUGCGGAAUGAUUAAAAAUGAUUAUAAACAUUUCCCUCUAAGAAGAUCUGAGCGC